AUUUUUCUAGUAUAACAGAAAGUAUAGGUGGCUUCCAACCACCCGGUCUUGGUUAAAGCCCAAGGAAAAAUA
rnacentral:tRNA from 1 species